rnacentral:rRNA from 1 species
UACGGAGGGGGCAAGCGUUGUCCGGAUUUACUGGGCGUAAAGGGCGCGUAGGCGGUUUGGCAAGUCUGGUGUGAAAACGUGCGGCUUAACUGCACGCUUGCACCGGAAACUGCCUAACUUGAGUUCGGGAGAGGAAAGCGGAAUUCCUAGUGUAGCGGUGAAAUGCGUAGAUAUUAGGAGGAACACCGGUGGCGAAAGCGGCUUUCUGGACCGACACUGACGCUGAGGCGCGAAAGUCAGGGGAG